AUCGCUUCUCGGCCUUUUGGCUAAGAUCAAGUGUAGUAUCUGUUCUUAUCAGUUUAAUAUCUGAUAUCUAUCUUUAAUAUCUAUCUGGGGACCAUAUAUUAAAUUGAUUUUUGGAAUAGGGAGAUGGAAUAGGGGCUUGCUCCGUCCACUCCACGCAUCGACCUGGUAUUGCAGUACUUCCAGGAACGGUGCACCCCCU